rnacentral:tRNA from 1 species
UGUUCUGUGGCUUAGAUGAUUAAUGCACCGGACUUGCGAUACGGAGUCGCGGUUUCGAGUCCCAUCAAAACAA